UGCUUCACUGCGCUUCACGCUGCUCCGUCAGAGCUGGAGAAAUACUGUGCUAAUCCGCUCCACAUUCUGCCCGUAAAUGAGACACCACCACUGACUGACUGACUCAGUUCAGCUCUUUUAAGAGGAGUCUUCAGUGUCAGCGCUUUGUCACAGUCAAAGGAUUGGUCAGCUAUCCCCUCUGAUCCGGUGGAGUCCUCUGACCCCACUUUGUGGACCACCCCUCCAUCAGAGGCCUCCUGUAACCCCCCACCACCACCCUGUCUGCGGAGUGGGUAUCGGCGUCCUCUCCAGGGGGCGCCAGCGAGGAGCUGAGUGAAGCUUUGGACAAGCCUUUGGAGAACG